GGUAAACAGAAAGUUGCUCAGGGUCAGAGGACUAGUGGGGGAGAUGCUCCUACUGGUGUGGUUUGUUUUAAGUGUGGAAAACCUGGGCAUAAGAGUAAUGUAUGCACUACUGAAGUGAAGAGGUGUUUUCGUUGUGGUAAGAACGGACAUGUUGUAUUUGAGUGUGAACAUAAGGAUGUGAUUUGUUUCAAUUGUAGAGAAGAAGGGAACAUUGGUAGUCAGUGUCAGAAACCAAAGAGGGCACAGACAAGUUGUAAAGUGUUCUCUUUGGUUGAGGAUCAGACAGCUGUUGAGGACAGACUUAUCAGAGGUACAUGUUUGAUUAAUAGUACUCCUUUAAUUACUAUUAUUGAUAUCGGUGCUACGCAUUGUUUUAUUGCUGCUGAUUAUGUUGAAAUAUUG